GCCACUUCUGAGUUUACUAGUGUGGUGUCUGGCCAGCCUCAGAUCCUCAUGGGUGACCGUGAGACAUCACCACCUGGAGACAGGUGAUGCUCCAGGUCAUCCCGGCACCUUCCCAGCUACUGUCAUCACUUGGCCAUCCACGGGGAUCUGCCUGGCCUGGGGCUGCGAAUCUCCAGAAUUGAAUUAUUGCGCUAAGAGGUUUACUGCAGUGUAGAGGAGGUGAAAAUGGUACCUGCAACAUUUCACUCCAUGAAAACACCACAACCACCAUCGAAGGAAGAGUAAAGGUGAUCCUGUCUCCUCAAGUGCUCUGCUGUUGCAUCUGUCACCCUCAUCAGAGGCCAGUCCAAUGGGGCUUCUCCAUCUUGGACUGGAUCCUUUGGAUCUCUGAGUUAAAUAAAGUUUUUUUUACAAGCACUAGUUACCUCUGCUAUUUCA